GACCAAGACACGAAGGGCGUAGCGUGGAUGCCUUGACGGGAGAUGCCGAUGAAGGGCGUGGCGUGGCUGCGAUAAGCCCCGGGGAGGUGCUGAGCAACCUUUGAUCCGGGGAUGCCCGAAUGGGGAAACCUAUGCCGUGCGAACACGGCAUGCGCCGCGUUGCGCAUGGAACCUCUAAAUAGGAUUUAGAAUUUAGGGUUUCCGCGCGCAGCGCGGCGGGGGAACCUGGCGAAGUGAAACAUCUCAGUAGCCAGAGGAAAAGAAAACAAGAUCAACUUCUCAUUUUGGUUCGAGGGCGAAAUCUCGAAUCUCUAAUCUCGAAUCUCUAAACGGAUUCCGUUUAGGGUUUAGAGAUUAGGGUUUAGGAUUUUACCGAGGAGCGAAGCGACGAGCUGAUUCCAUUCCCGUAGUAGCGGCGAGCGAACCGGGAAGAGCCCAAACCCCGUUUUCUGUAGAUUUAUCUAGGGGAGGCGGGGGGUUGUAAGACGAAGACGAUUCCUUCAAGGAGGAGAGCGAAAAGUUGAAAGUUGGCUAGCCGAACGGCCUGGAACGGCCGACCAGAGAGGGCAAACGUCCCGUAGGCGAAAACCCUUUCACGCUCUCUGUUUUCGUUCUUGAGUACCUCGGGGAACGAAAGCCCCGGGGGAACCUGGCAGGCCUAACCUGCCAAGGCUAAAUACGUCUUCCGAUCGAUAGUGAACCAGUACCGUGAGGGAAAGGUGAAAAGCAGCCCGGUGAGGGCGGUGAAAAAGAACCUGAAACGCUAUGCCUACAAAGAGUCGGAGGCCCGGUGCUUGCACCGGGCUGACGGCGUGCUUUUUGCAGAACGAUCCAGCGAGUUCGUGCGCCCCGCUUGUUAAAGUCGCUGAGGCGACGGAGGCACAGGGAAACCGAGUCCGAAUAGGGCGUGCCCUUUACUUCGCAAAGGGAAACUCUAAACUCGAAACCCUAAACCCUAAGACGGAAACGUUUUAGGAUUUAGAUAUUAGGAUUUAGGAUUUCCCCAAUGCGGAGCAUUGGGAGGCGGUGCGCACGAGACCCGAAGCCAGGUGAGCUACCCGUGGCCAGGGUGAACCCCGUGUAAUAGCGGGGGGAGGCCCGAACCCGUUGGCCGUGCAAUACCAUGGGAUGAGCUGCGGGUAGGAGUGAAAAGCUAAUCGAACCUGGUAAUAGCUGGUUCUCCCCGAAAUGUGUUUUGGCACAGCGCUCUGCAGCAACCGCGGGGGUAGAGCACUGAAUGGAUGUCAUGGGGGCAACCUCGGAUAUUCAAUCAAACUCCGAAUACCGCGUGCCAAGUGCAGAGUAGUGAGACCGCGGGGGCGAAGCUCCGUGGUCGAGAGGGAAACAGCCCAGACCGUCGUCUAAGGCCCCAAAGUCAUCGCUCAAUGCAAUAAAGGAAGUGCGGCUUCUCUGACAGCGAGGAGGUUGGCUUAGAAGCAGCCACCCUUGAAAGAAAGCGUAACAGCUCACUCGUCCAGAGGCUGCGCACCGAAAAUGUCCGGGGCGAAGCGAUGCGCCGAAGACACGGAAUCCCGCCGUAUGGCGGGAUUGGUAGGGGAGCGUCUCGAUUGCGUUGAAGUUGAACCGUAAGGUUUGGUGGAGCGAUCGGGAGUGAGAAUGCUGGAAUGAGUAACCGCAACCCCGGUGAGAUCCCGGGGCGCCGAAAGCCUAAGGGUUCCGUGGCAAUGGUGAUCAACCACGGGUGAGUCGGCCCUAAGGGGAACCCGAAAGGGGUACCUGAUGGACAGCAGGUUAAUAUUCCUGCACUUCUGCGUCGUCCGAGGGAGGGACGGAUUCUAGUAACCGAAACGCGUUAUCGGAUUCGCGUUCGUUGCUUAAGGGGGUCUUCCAGGGAAAUCCGGAAGGCAUUACUCCAAGAGCUGCGAGAAGGUCUGCCUACGGGUUGGCCGACUUCGGCGAGCAGGGUUCCGAGAAAAGCUUCUAAGGAUAACGGCGCGGAAACCGUACCGCAAAACCGACACAGGUAGGCGGGUGGAGUACACUAAGGCGAACGGGUGAUUCUUCGUUAAGGAACUCGGCAAAAUAGUGGCCGUACGUUCGCAAUAAGGCCUACCCUGCCAACAUGAGAUUACAUCAAAGUGGAUGGCGGGGUCGCAGCGAAAGACCCCUGGCGACUGUUUAUCAAAAACACAGCUCCCUGCGAAGCCGCAAGGCGCGGUAUAGGGGGUGACGCCUGUCCAGUGCCGGAACCUUAACGGCAGCGGUGUUCUGUUUGCGAUUAUCUCAAUAACAGAUUGCUUAUGCCCGAAGGGCCGGUGAACGACCGCGAUAACUAUAAUCGUGUUAAAGUAGCGAAAUUCCUUGGCAGGUAAGUUCUGUCCCGCACGAAAGGCGUAACGACUGGGGGACUGUCUCAACGAAGAGCCCGGUGAAAAUGCAAUACCCGUGAAGAUGCGGGUUACCCACAGAAGGACAAGAAGACCCCGGAAGCUUCACUACAACUUGGUAUUGUGUACGCGUUCCGAAUGCGUAGCGUAGGAGGGAGGCUUUGAAGGCCCGUUUUCGGACGGGCUGGAGCCGCCAAUGAAACACCUCUCUUUCGGGAUACGUAUGCUCACCCGAUGCUCUUCGCAGGAGCAUUGGGGACAGUGCCUGGCGGGUAGUUUUGGUGGGGUGCUAUCCUCCCAAAGAGUAACGGAGGAGCUCAUUAAGGUCGGCUAGCGCCGGAUGGACAUCGGCGCGAUAGGACAAACCCAUAAGCCGGCUUUACUGCAAGGCGGAUAUGCCGCGCAGUCGCGAAAGCGGGAGUUAGUGAACCGACCGUUAUCCCGAUGAUCCUUGAGCUUCGGUUCGAAGAUCGUCGGGACUCUGUAGAACGGCGGAAGAUCACCAGAUAAAAGCUACUCCGGGGAUAACAGGCUGGUUCCGCCCGAGCGUCCAUAGCGACGGCGGAGCUCGGCACCUCGAUGUCGGCUCAUCCCAUCCUGGGGCUGGAGAAGGUCCCAAGGGUUCGGCUGUUCGCCGAUUAAAGGGAUACGCGAGCUGGGUUCAAACCGUCGCGAGACAGGUUGGACUUCUAUCCGCUGUGGGCGUGGAAUCUUGAGGGGAGCUCUGCCUAGUACGAGAGGACCGGCAGGGACUGACCUCUGGUGUACCGGUUGUCGCGCCAGCGGCAUCGCCGGGUAGCUACGUCGGGAAGGAUAAGCGCUGAAAGCAUCUAAGCGCGAAGCCAACCCCAAGAUAAGGAUUCAUAGCCCUCUUGGAGAAGACGAGUUUGAUCGGCGGUAGGUGAAAGGGCAGUAAUGUCUUGAGCCGAGCCGUACGAAUAGGGCGUUGUCUUGGUCAA
rfam:Candidatus Terrybacteria bacterium RIFCSPHIGHO2_01_FTLL_58_15 rifcsphigho2_01_scaffold_3644, whole genome shotgun sequence.